UAGUCCAUGCCGUAAACUAUGAUUACUCGAUAUUAGUCUAACUAGUGUCUAAGCGAAAGUGAUAAGUAAUCCACCUGGGGAGUACGAUCGCAAGAUUGAAACUCAAAGGAAUUGACGGGGGCCCGCACAAGCGGUGGAGCAUGUGGUUUAAUUCGAUGAUACGCGAGGAACCUUACCUAGGCUUAAGUGUAGUUUGAUCGUCUGUGAAAACAGAUUUUCCUUGUGACAAACUUCAAGGUGCUGCAUGGCUGUCGUCAGCUCGUGCUGUGAGGUGUCGGGUUAAGUCCCAUAACGAGCGCAACCCCUAUCUUUAAUUGCCAGCGAGUAAUGUCGGGGACUUUAAAGAGACUGCCCGUGUAAACGGUGAGGAAGGUGGGGAUGACGUCAAGUCAUCACGGCCCUUACGUCUAGGGGCUACACACGUGCUACAAUGGGUAAGUACAGAGUGUUGCUACUUGGUAACAAGUUUGCUAAUCACUAAAGCUUAUCUCAGUUCGGAUCGAA
rnacentral:rRNA from 1 species